rnacentral:misc_RNA from 1 species
UGGUUCUGGCAUNGAUGAAGAACGCAGCGAAAUGCGAUACGUAAUGUGAAUUGCAGAAUUCAGUGAAUCAUCGAAUCUUUGAACGCACAUUGCGCCUGAUGGUAUUCCGUCAGGCAUGCCUGUUCGAGCGUCGUUUGACUAUAAAGCAUUGCUUUUUGUUGGUGCAUUGGAGUCAUCCAAGCACCCAAAUACGUUGGCGAUUGAAGUGGCCGAAAGCGCAGCGAUAUGCGAGCGAAACCACCAAAAGUUUGCCAGUUACCCCAAAAGUCGACCUCGAAUCAAGCAAGAUUACCCGCUGA